rnacentral:snRNA from 1 species
GUGCUCACUUUGGCAGCACAUAUACUAAAAUUGGAAUGAUACAGAGAAGAUUAGCAUGGCCCCUGCACAAGGAUGACAUGCAAAUUUGUGAAGUGUUCCAUACUUUU